AGAAAAUGUUAAAACAUUUGGUGGUAGUCCAUGCUUUCGUUUUGUAGAAAAACUUUACCUGUGCUUAUUCUUGACAACUCAGACCCCUGAAUUUCCCAUACCUGGAUCGGAUGGCUCAUGCCCAGAUCUUGGCUACACAGUUUCAUUAUUGCAUUUCAAUUGGAACUCCUCAAUUCUGAAAAGCUUUUUCUCAUCACCCUCUCGAUGGGUCUUAACUUCAGAGACUUUUAUGUGCAUUUAUUUAUUUAUUUAUUUUGGAUUUUUCUUUUCACCUUAGGAUUGGGAAACUGGAAAUUUUCCUUCCUAAACAGUGAGAAUAAGAUCUAAUUUAUUAUCUUUUUUCAUAUUUGGAAAAAAAACUCAAAUAGUGUCUGUGGAUCUUGUUUAAUCUCAGAGAAGAGUAUCCUCAGUUGUUAAUGGGAAGGAUGUGACAUCAUGGUGAAAGGACAGUGUUGAUAUUGAUAAUAAAGUCAUCUGUGUCUAGAAUUGAAGGAGAAAGAAUAAUUCUGGACUUGACUAAGAAAAUAAAAGAAGGGAAGAAGAAAACAACACAAACACAGUGAGCCUUUAUGUGAUUAGAUAUCUCCCUAUAGUAAUUGAAUGGGAGAAAUGAUGUAAUGUGAAACUAAUGUUUAAAAAGUUUCAUUUAAAUUAUUCAUUGAAACUGGAAUCCAUUGAAACUGGUGUGGCCUCUCAAUUUUGUAUUGUCAUAUGACCUCCUUUAACUUAUCCAAACAUUUCUUUCCUUUAAAUAAUUCAUAUGAAUCAAACUAAAUUAUAUUUCAAAAAUUAAGUAUCACCAAGCUUUUGGUGGGGCUAAAGGUUUCUCAAGUGCUGAAAAUGAAGAAAGGCAUUACAACUAAAAUACACAUUAAAACAAACAUGGGAAGAAUUAACAGAGAGCAGGAAUUUAGAGGAGAUAGUUAUAUCAAUUAUCUUCUAAUCCUACUACAGAAUAUGUGUUUGCCCAAGUUUCUAAGUGUGCGAUAAGCUAAUUCAUACAUAAGGGAGAGAUUGUGUGUGUGUGUGUGUGUGUGUGUGUGAGAGAGAGAGAGAGAGAGAGAGAGAGAGAGAGAGAGAGAGAGAGAGAACCAUCAGUCUAUUGGGGCAUCUUAGGGGAAACCAGUAAGCACAACAAGCAGAGGAAAGCUUUGCUAGGCAAAGAAUGAAUUUAUGGUAUAGUCUUUGCUACUUAUCCUGUCCAGGUUUUAUGUCUACAAGCUCAGUUUUAUUUCCUACCUACAAGUUUUAGAUCCUUAAAAAAAAAAAAAUCUAGUAACCACAUUCCUGGAAAUCUGACAAAUAUAACUACUAUUACAGUAGUCAUCCACAAAAGGAGAUACACAUUUCUAGCAGCUUUGUGUACAUAUGCCUGCCUAUGAGUUUGUGUUUCUCACUGUGUUUGCAUGUGUGUGUGGAGGUUACACAUCUUCCACCUUGGUUUGGAGGAUGGGGCCUCUCACUGAAUCAGAGGCUCACUGACACAGCUAUUCUGGCUAGCUAGCAAGCCCCAAGCAUCCUUUGUCUUUACAUCCUUGGUGCUGAGAUACAGGAACCUCCAGUUGUAACUGGAAGUUUUUCUGGAGCUUAAAACUUAGAUUCUCAUGCAUUUUUAGUCAGCAGUUUGCCAACUGAGCCAUAUCCCAAGGCCUCUUCGCAAACCUCUUUUCCUUUCCAUUAUUCAAUGUCAAAUUGCAUGAUGAAUGAAUAUGGGCUGAUAUACUCGUGAGUUAUAUUUCACCCAGCCAUAUCCAGAACUGCCACACUUAGAUCCGAAUCCUUUGCUAACCUGAUGCCCAUUCCUUGAUCUCUACGUAGUGCCGAAGUUCUGUUCCCCAUAUCUCACUGCCAGACCUGACACGUGUAUUUUCAGCCAUUACCACCCAGCUCCACAAUGUCAUAUUUCAGAAAUUUAAGUAUACUUGAAUUCCCUCUCUUCAUCCCUCGUUCUGACCUCUGAUCCUUAAAUUGUCUUGUUUUUACUUCAACGUAUUUCCUAUGUAUAAUAUUCUGAUUUUAAUAAUUUAAGAUUUUUUUAAGAGUAAAUCUUAUUUUGUAAUAUUACCUGUUGUCAAGGACAGUGGAGUGUCAUCUUCACAAACAUUAUCUGCACAGGCUGAAUGUGAAAUAAUAAGUAGAAUUUCUAUGUAAAUUGUGUUGUACUUUUAGGGUUCUAUGAUACAAGACUUGGCACUUGAAAUGGAAGAUAAGAACAAUGCCUUAAAAUAAAAUAAUGUCUUUAAUCUAUGAACAUUGCCAAUUAAAACAUAAACCAACAUACACAGAGCCUAUCAACAUAUCAGAAGUCUAAUUGCACAGAGUCGGUCCAUCAGCAAUGUUUUAACACUUGAUUUAUUUCCUGUUCAAUUUGUUCAAUAAGGCCAGAGAUAAUUGGUUUCCCAAGUAAGUGUUAAAGUACAAAGCUCUAUCUUUAUUAAGUGGAGACUGUGCUUAAUAUGCACCAGUGACUUACAAGUCUAUGUAAAGGUCACUAGUGUGAGAUUGCACGCCACUGUUGACAAAUCACAGCUCUGACUUAGCACUAAUAUGGCCAAUAACCAAAAAUUAGCCAAACUACUGUUUCAUAACAAGAAAUGAAUAUGUAAAAUUUAAAACUCACAAAACCCCUGAAACAUUUUAUUUAAAGAGACCAUUAUAAAUCAAUGUAUGAUAUCUUUCAAAUGUAUUAUAUUUCUUUAAGAAGAAUUUACUUUUUCACAUAGCUAAAAAAAGUAAUGUACUAGUAGAUAUUUAUGUUGCUGUGACUGAUUGAUUGAUUGACUGAUUGAUCUAACAGAGUUUAACAUUUGUGUGUCACGCUACUGUGUGGUAGAGCAGGACAUUUAAUGUGAUAUUUUGACCAUUAAAUGACAAAUUAAAGACUAUAUCAUUCAACCUAAUGUGUAUUAAAAUUGUACUAGACUACUCUAAGAGUACAAAAGAAUCAAAAGCAGUAGUUUUUAUUUUAUCAUUUUCUAUGAUCUAUUUUUAACUUAAACACUAGCAGCAGUAAUGCUGUUUUUCAUUACUGUCAAAUGUGAUUCUCAAGAAAUAUCACUUGGCAUGAGAAAUGCCAUUCAGGGAGCAAUAUUAACAUUCUUGGUAGAAAAAGGCUAUAUUUUGGAUAUUUUUUUGAGGAGUGCUAUAUAUCAUCUGCAGUAGAUUUUAUAACUAGAUGUGCCUAGUUAAUGUCUCAGCAAACUACUGCCACCACCGUCCUUCAUUCUGGGAGUGAGCUAUAUGUUGCCAAUAGAAGCACCAAAAAUGGAAAUCUGCUAACUAAUUUCCAGGAACUAUAGACUGAUCUCUCUCUCUCUCUCCCCCCCCCUCUCUCUCUCUCUCUCUCUCCUUGCUGUCUCUCACACACACACACACAAAGAUGAACUUGUGCAUUUGAAAGUAAUACUUUGCACACAAAAAACAUUAGC
rnacentral:lncRNA from 1 species